UACGUAGGGGGCGAGCGUUGUCCGGAAUCAUUGGGCGUAAAGCGCACGUAGGCGGCCCUGUAAGUCGAAUGUGAAAUCCCGAGGCUCAACCUCGGAACUGCAUUCGGUACUGCAGGGCUUGAGGAAGGUAGAGGAGAGUGGAAUUCCCGGUGUAGCGGUGGAAUGCGCAGAUAUCGGGAGGAACACCAGCGGCGAAGGCGGCUCUCUGGGCCUUACCUGACGCUGAGGUGCGAAAGCGUGGGGAGCGAACAGG
rnacentral:misc_RNA from 1 species